AACGAACGCUGGCGGCAGGCCUAACACAUGCCAGUCGAGCGCGCCUUCGGGUGAGCGGCGGACGGGUGAGUAACGCGUGGGAAUAUGCCCUUCUCUACGGAAUAGUCCUGGGAAACUGGGGGUAAUAUCGUAUACGCCCUUUGGGGGAAAGAUUUAUCGGGGAAGGAUUAGCCCGCGUUGGAUUAGGUAGUUGGUGGGGUAAUGGCCUACCAAGCCGACGAUCCAUAGCUGGUUUGAGGGGAUGAUCAGCCACACUGGGACUGAGACACGGCCCAGACUCCUACGGGAGGCAGCAGUGGGGAAUCUUAGACAAUGGGGGCAACCCUGAUCUAGCCAUGCCGCGUGAGUGAUGAAGGCCUUAGGGUUGUAAAGCUCUUUCAGCUGGGAAGAUAAUGACGGUACCAGCAGAAGAAGCCCCGGCUAACUCCGUG
rnacentral:rRNA from 1 species